UCCUAUAAGUUAUAGGGUCAGUGUCGCCCCCUCUGAUGGGAUAAGAGAGCAUCCCACACACAGGGAUUCCUAUAAGUUAUAGGGUCAGUGACGCUCCCUCUGAUGGGAUAAGAGAGCGUCUCACACACAGGGAUUCCUAUAAAUUAUAGGGUCAGUGACGCCCCUCUGAUGGGAUAAGAGAGCGUCUUACACACAGGGAUUCCUAUAAGUUAUAGGGUCAGUGACGUCCCCUCUGAUGGGAUAAGAGAGCGUCUCACACACAGGGAUUCCUAUAAGUUAUAGGGUCAGUGACGCUCCCUCUGAUGCGAUAAGAGAGCGUCUCACACACAGGGAUUCCUAUAAGUUGUAGGGGCAGUGACGCUCCCUCUGGUGGAAUAAGAGGGCGUCUCACAAACUCUUGGUAGAGAUUGGGGUGAGAGAAUUUUCAUGCACAGAGAAUACAUUAAGGUAAAGGAUCUUUGAUACCUAGUGAUGGCAACAUAUGUGAGAUGCCCUUUUUCUCAUUUCCUACAGUCCCAUUUUUUUAAUGUUUUUUUGGGGGCCAACUGAUUUUUAAUAUGAAUUUUCCAACAGAGACCCUCCCCUAUUCAAUUAUCUUAACAUGGUUUAUAUAAUGUACAACACUAUGUUAUAUUGUCAGAAAAUUAAUAUUGAGCAACACACAGACAUGUAUUUUAUAUAUCUAUAGAGAGAUAGAUAUAUAUACAUAUCUAUAAAUAUAUUUAUAUUGGGAGCUGAAGGCACAGGAGAUGCCUUAUUGCCUUUUGGGUGGUUGGCGCUGAAUUGGUUAAAUACUGGCACUUUUCUUUAUUUACUUCUGUUUUUGGGAUCUUGGACUGAAAUAAAAUAAAAAAUUUUGGUGAG